rnacentral:tRNA from 1 species
GCCUGGGUGGCUCAGUCGGUUGAGCGUCCGACUUCGGCUCAGGUCAUGCUCACAGUUCGUGGGUUCGAGCCCCAUGUCAGGCU